rnacentral:rRNA from 1 species
GACGAACGCUGGCGGCGUGCUUAACACAUGCAAGUCGAACGGUGAACCAGAGCUUGCUCUGGGGAUCAGUGGCGAACGGGUGAGUAACACGUGGGCAACCUGCCCAGACUCUGGGAUAACCUCGGGAAACCGAUGCUAAUACCGGAUACGACCACUUCGGACAUCCGACGGUGGUGGAAAGUUUUUCGGUCUGGGAUGGGCCCGCGGCCUAUCAGCUAGUUGGUGGGGUAAUGGCCUACCAAGGCGACGACGGGUAGCCGGCCUGAGAGGGCGACCGGCCACACUGGAACUGAGACACGGUCCAGACUCCUACGGGAGGCAGCAGUGGGGAAUAUUGCACAAUGGGCGAAAGCCUGAUGCAGCGACGCCGCGUGAGGGACGACGGCCUCGGUUGUAACCGUACUUCUAGCAGGGACGAAGCGAAGUGACUGUACCUGCAGAAGAAGACACCGGCUAAC